AGCUUUUAUCCUCAUCUUAUCUAAAAAGACUUCUUUAAUGUAGUUGUGUUUAAAGAUUGAGAGAGUAUAUUCUUCCCUGGAAUUACACAAUAUAGUUUAUAUAUAAAUCAAUAUUGGAUGUAUGUAGGAGAUUUGGGGGAGAAUAUUUAUUAAAAAGAGAUGAUUGCUUGCUGCAAGCCACUUAAGGGCUGUGGAACAACGCUGUCUUCCCUCUGUUGACGUGACUUUUGCAGAGAUUUAUGAACUUAAAGAAGGCUCCUCGGUCAGACGUGUCCAGUUGGAGUUUGGCUGAAGAUGAACAGGUCAUGCAUACCACGGUGGAAGUCUAUCGUGUGCAAACACCUCUGUGCUUUACAUUCCACUGUCCUGUGUGCGGAAAAACAAGAACUGCGUCCUGUGAGUGCACUGGCCUCUCUCCAGAGAGAUAAAGAUCAGGUCAAGCACAAUCCAAAGUCCUCACACUAUAAACUACUGAUGUAUAGCAGCAUUCUUGCAGAGAAACAGCCAGAAGAACAUCUAUUGAGCUUUUUUUAAUGGCUUUUAUUGGCACCUUGAGGACUUAUGAGAGAAAAUACUGUACGUUUGUGCAGAAGGGACUGGUUGUACCACCUGAAAAUAUAUAAAUCAGCCUCUUAAGGGCGUAUGUCUUUUGUGCUCAAAAAACCACUUAGAUGCAUUGUAUGCUGUUUUGUGAAAACUAUUUUACAGAUUGUUUCCCCCCUUUUUUUAGUAAUUUAUCAUUGAUUUAUGUAAUUCUUUUACUUUGUCUUGUACUGGCCCAGAGAAUAUAAAUUAUGUCCGCAAUGAUUUAUGUGCUCAAAAUGCUUACUGUAGACCAUAUGGGCAUAGGAAGUCUGACGUAACACAGAGAAAAACCUUUACCCAUAUAUGGAUUUCCGGAUCAGAUGAAAAUUUCUCUACAGAGUACAUGAAUAGGAGUUUCAUGUAACCGCCCCUGUCACAGUCUGUGAUUCAAACUGGCUUUUAAAA